AGAUUACUAUGCCUGUUUGCGGGGAAUGAACUACCUGGAUGCCUUCCUCAGGAAGACGGUGUGUAACUGUCAGAUAGUGAACCUGGGGGCAGGGCUGGACACCACUUUCUGGAGGUUAAAGGAAGAAAACCUCGAAACCAAGUCGACUUUCCGAUGAUUGCUUGCAGGAAAAUACACAACAAAAAAGAAUAGAGCAUCUGGAGUUUCUGGAUGAAAAGGAACUUCUGCAGCAGCUCCUCCAACACUCAGUAUCUGCUGGGCCACCAAGGACAAGUUCAAGCAGGAGUCUCACAAGUAGCUUUCUGAACCUGGACUGUCUUGUCUUAAGCCUCUUUCUCUGUGCCAUGAUCAACACUAUCAAGAGAGGAGAGAAAAAACCCAUCAACACCUUCACAUCAGACUCAAGUCUUGUCUGCUCUGUGGGAAAUGCAUGGCAUCAGCAGAAUUCGUCUGAAUGUGUUUCCGUUGCAUCCCAUAAAAGCAACCACUGUCUCCCAACAUACUUUUGUGAAGAGAAGGGAUGUUUCCGCUGGAAGUGUGAUACAGUGCAUUCGGAAAGUAUUCAGACCCCUUGACAUUUUCCACAUUUUUUUAUGUUACAGCCUUAUUCUAAAAAUGUAUGUAAUCAUUUUUUCCCUCAUCAAUCUACACACAAUACCCCAUAAUGACAAAAUAAAGCAAAAACAUGUUUUUAGAAAUGUUUUCAAAUUUAUAAAAAACAGAAAUACCUUAUUGACAUAACUAUUCAGAUCCUUCAUUAUGGAAUUGAAAUUGAGCUCAGGUGCAUCCCAUUGAUCAUCCUUGAGAUGUUUUACAACUUGGGAGUCCACCUGUGGUAUAUUCAAUUGAUUGGACAUGAUUUGGAAAGGCACACACCUGUCUAUAUUU